AUUGAACGCUGGCGGCAGGCCUAACACAUGCAAGUCGAACGGUAGCACAGAGAGCUUGCUCUCGGGUGACGAGUGGCGGACGGGUGAGUAACGUCUGGGAAACUGCCCGAUGGAGGGGGAUAACUACUGGAAACGGUAGCUAAUACCGCAUAACGUCGCAAGACCAAAGUGGGGGACCUUCGGGCCUCACACCAUCGGAUGUGCCCAGAUGGGAUUAGCUAGUAGGUGGGGUAAUGGCUCACCUAGGCGACGAUCCCUAGCUGGUCUGAGAGGAUGACCAGCCACACUGGAACUGAGACACGGUCCAGACUCCUACGGGAGGCAGCAGUGGGGAAUAUUGCACAAUGGGCGCAAGCCUGAUGCAGCCAUGCCGCGUGUAUGAAGAAGGCCUUCGGGUUGUAAAGUACUUUCAGCGGGGAGGAAGGCAGUGAAGUUAAAAACUUCACCGAUUGACGUUACCCGCAGAAGAAGCACCGGCUAACUCCGUGCCAGCAGCCGCCGUAA
rnacentral:rRNA from 1 species